AUGAACGCUGGCGGCGUGCCUAAUCCAUGCCAGUCGAGCGAACAGAUAAGGAGCUUGCUCCUUUGACGUUAGCGGCGGACGGGUGAGUAACACGUGGAUAACCUACCUAUAAGACUGGGAUAACUUCGGGAAACCGGAGCUAAUACCGGAUAACAUAUUGAACCGCAUGGUUCAAUAGUGAAAGGCGGCUUUGCUGUCACUUAUAGAUGGAUCCGCGCCGUAUUAGCUAGUUGGUAAGGUAACGGCUUACCAAGGCAACGAUACGUAGCCGACCUGAGAGGGUGAUCGGCAACACUGGAACUGAGACACGGUCCAGACUCCUACGGGAGGCAGCAGUAGGGAAUCUUCCGCAAUGGGCGAAAGCCUGACGGAGCAACGCCGCGUGAGUGAUGAAGGUCUUCGGAUCGUAAAACUCUGUUAUCAGGGAAGAACAAAUGUGUAAGUAACUGUGCACAUCUUGACGGUACCUGAUCAGAAAGCCACGGCUAACUACGUG
rnacentral:rRNA from 1 species